AAGGGAGCUUGCUCCCGGAUGUUAGCGGCGGACGGGUGAGUAACACGUGGGUAACCUGCCUGUAAGACUGGGAUAACUCCGGGAAACCGGAGCUAAUACCGGAUAGUUCCUUGAACCGCAUGGUUCAAGGAUGAAAGACGGUUUCGGCUGUCACUUACAGAUGGACCCGCGGCGCAUUAGCUAGUUGGUGAGGUAACGGCUCACCAAGGCGACGAUGCGUAGCCGACCUGAGAGGGUGAUCGGCCACACUGGGACUGAGACACGGCCCAGACUCCUACGGGAGGCAGCAGUAGGGAAUCUUCCGCAAUGGACGAAAGUCUGACGGAGCAACGCCGCGUGAGUGAUGAAGGUUUUCGGAUCGUAAAGCUCUGUUGUUAGGGAAGAACAAGUGCAAGAGUAACUGCUUGCACCUUGACGGUACCUAACCAGAAAGCCACGGCUAACUACGUGCCAGCAGCCGCGGUAAUACGUAAGUGGCAAGCGUUGUCCGGAAUUAUUGGGCGUAAAGGGCUCGCAAGCGGUUUCUUAUGUCUGAUGUGAAAACCCCGGGCUCAACCGCGGAGGGUCAUUGAAACCUGUGAUCCUUAACUGCAGAUAAGGACAAUGAAAUUCCCCUCGUCACGGGGAAUUCCUCCACAUAUGUGGAGGAAUUACCCGUGGACAAAGGGGAAUUCUCCGCUCUGUAUCUGAACCCUAAGGAUCCCAAAUCUUCGAUGAGCCCACCCCGAUUAGAUACCCUGGGUUUUCCCCCCCCGACAUCAAAAAACCGCCCAGCGGGUACCGUUUAUUUCCCACCCACUUUACUGGAGAAAAGCUUAGCGCACUAAAAUAUUACCGCCGGGGAGGGUCAUUGGAAACUGGGAAACUUGAGUGCAGAAGAGGAGAGUGGAAUUCCACGUGUAGCGGUGAAAUGCGUAGAGAUGUGGAGGAACACCAGUGGCGAAGGCGACUCUCUGGUCUGUAACUGACGCUGAGGAGCGAAAGCGUGGGGAGCGAACAGGAUUAGAUACCCUGGUAGUCCACGCCGUAAACGAUGAGUGCUAAGUGUUAGGGGGUUUCCGCCCCUUAGUGCUGCAGCUAACGCAUUAAGCACUCCGCCUGGGGAGUACGGUCGCAAGACUGAAACUCAAAGGAAUUGACGGGGGCCCGCACAAGCGGUGGAGCAUGUGGUUUAAUUCGAAGCAACGCGAAGAACCUUACCAGGUCUUGACAUCCUCUGACAACCCUAGAGAUAGGGCUUUCCCUUCGGGGACAGAGUGACAGGUGGUGCAUGGUUGUCGUCAGCUCGUGUCGUGAGAUGUUGGGUUAAGUCCCGCAACGAGCGCAACCCUUGAUCUUAGUUGCCAGCAUUCAGUUGGGCACUCUAAGGUGACUGCCGGUGACAAACCGGAGGAAGGUGGGGAUGACGUCAAAUCAUCAUGCC
rnacentral:rRNA from 1 species